AAUGAGUUGCCUGCGUUAGCCGGACAGUGAGUCUGAUGUUAAAGGAGUGUUUGCUUGUAAAAAGAGUGUGGAAUUAGACCGCCAGGACAAGGGUAAAUCCAGUUUUCUAUGAUUUGAUAGCCUAGUUUUCUAAAAUGGCUAAAACCACCCGGUUUUAAAUAUCCACUGUACAUAGUAUGUGACAUCAAAAAGACGGGAACAUCUUCGUUGCAGUGACAGCCUACUGCGAGGGACUGUUCAGAAUGGGCUGCAAGACCGAACGGUCAUUACCAAGGCCAUGUCAGCACAGGAAUCACUUUAUCACUUUCUUUCGUCUUGUUAGUGGGGCAUCAUUUUCAUACAUGGAAGAACCAUUUGUAAAAAAAAACAAGAAAAAAUACAUUUUGUUAGCAACUGGGACUGUGUUCGAACGUUCAGUCGAGGCUAGAGUCGCAGGGAUCUCAGAUGUUUCUCUCAACCAACCAUGGGAUGGUUUGAAUCUUAACUUCGACAAAAGGCAAACAUUUUUGGAAUUUUCCAGUAAAACCAGAGAGGGUUAGGAUCGCUGAAGACUGAUUGCAUAUGGAACAGCCCCUCCUGCCCACGGUACAAGUGAAGGACGUGUCUGGCUUAUCAGUCGAGCUCCAGACAAGGUCAUAUUUGACUUUAGAAUGUUUCCACUCAGCUUUUUGCUCAACUGUUUUGCGAGGCAUUUCCUGUAUCACAUUUUGCAUAAUUGGUGUUCGAGGUUUUUGGAUAGUAACUUUUUUUUGCUGUCGAGGAUUAGGCCAUUGAAAAGGAUCCUAUUCAUUUAUUUAUUUAUUUAUUUAUAUAUGAUCAGAAGUUGGGUUGCAUUACCUCUGUCUGUGUCACUGUUGCUUCAGCCAGAAGCAUUAAGCAAUAGGUCUGGGUGAGCCAGAAGUAUCAGUGCUGUAAACAGACAUUGUGAAACCUGCUGUACAGGACAUUACUCUAGAACCCUUCUUUUCUAAACCGGUACUUGUGUAAAUGGAUGACUUACAUUUUUUGCCACUCCUGGACCACUGAGAAUGUAAAAUCAUUUUGAGAAAUGUAAGCAUUUUUAAAUGAAUGGCAGUAAUAUUCCAUGAAUCUAUUAUACAAGACCAAAGAUACUGCAAGUAUCUUGGAAAACUGUGAUCUUGAUUAAACUUGAUACUAUAUAUUAUGCAUGCAAUGUACACAUGCAUUCAUAGUUAUAAUUUUUAUCUUGCACACACAAACCAUAAAUUGUCUAGUUUGCUUCCUCAAAUAGUCUGUUGCCACAUUAAUUUCUCCACGGCGCUAACUGUUCUUUUGCGGAAGACAGUGUCCUCAUUUGUUACACAGUUGUACUAAAGAUAAAAAGAUUCCUGUCCUGUGUUUGUAAAAAUAAAUUCUCCAAAUGGGCAGAUCGGGAA